rnacentral:tRNA from 1 species
GCGCUCGUAGCUCAGCUGGAUAGAGUACCUGGCUACGAACNNUACGAACCAGGCGGUCAGAGGUUCGAAUCCUCUCGAGCGCGCCA